CCUACGGGACGCAGCAGUGAGGAAUAUUGGUCAAUGGACGAGAGUCUGAACCAGCCAAGUAGCGUGAAGGAUGACUGCCCUAUGGGUUGUAAACUUCUUUUAUAUGGGAAUAAAAUGUUCCACGUGUGGGAUUUUGUAUGUACCAUAUGAAUAAGGAUCGGCUAACUCCGUGCCAGCAGCCGCGGUAAUACGGAGGAUCCGAGCGUUCUCCGGAUUUAUUUGGUUUAAAGGGAGCGUAGGUGGAUUGUUAAGUCAGUUGUGAAAGUUUGCGGCUCAACCGUAAAAUUGCAGUUGAAACUGGCAGUCUUGAGUACAGUAGAGGUGGGCGGAAUUCGUGGUGUAGCGGUGAAAUGCUUAGAUAUCACGAAGAACUCCGAUUGCGAAGGCAGCUCACUGGACUGCAACUGACACUGAUGCACGAAAGCGUGGGGAUCAAACAGGAUUAGAUACCCUUGUAGUC
rnacentral:rRNA from 1 species